GUCCACGCCGUAAACGGUGCGCACUAGGUGUCGGGGGUAUUCACCCCUCCGGUGCCGAAGCUAACGUACUAAGUGCGCCGCCUGGGAAGUACGGCCGCAAGGCUAAAACUCAAAGGAAUUGACGGGGGCCCGCACAAGCGGUGGAGCAUGUGGUUCAAUUCGAUGCAACGCGAAGAACCUUACCUGGUCUUGACAUCUCGGGAAUCUCCCUGAAAGGGGAGAGUGCCUUCGGGAACCCGAUGACAGGUGCUGCAUGGCUGUCGU
rnacentral:rRNA from 1 species